CUACUACUCCCUCCGUCCGGAAAAACUUGUCCCAAGCUUGUUCCUCAUAUGGAUGUAUCUAGCACUAACUUGGUGCUAGAUACAUUCAUUUGAGGGACAAGCUUUUUCGGACGGAGGGAGUACUUU
rfam:Triticum aestivum genome assembly, contig: Triticum_aestivum_CS42_TGACv1_scaffold_096463_2AL